ensembl:snRNA U6 U6 spliceosomal RNA
GUCCUCACUUCAGCAGCACAUGUACUAAAGUUGGAAUGAUACAGAGAAGAUAGCAUGACCCCGGGCAAGGAUGACGAGCAAAUUCAUAAAGAGUUCCACAAUUGA